rnacentral:rRNA from 1 species
UAGGGAAUCUUCCGCAAUGGACGCAAGUCUGACGGAGCAACGCCGCGUGAGUGAAGAAGGAUUUCGGUUCGUAAAACUCUGUUGUUAGAGAAGAACAGCGCAUAGAGUAACUGUUAUGCGUGUGACGGUAUCUAACCAGAAAGCCACGGCUAACUACGUGCCAGCAGCCGCGGUAAUACGUAGGUGGCAAGCGUUGUCCGGAUUUAUUGGGCGUAAAGCGAGCGCAGGCGGUCAAUUAAGUCUGAUGUGAAAGCCCCCGGCUCAACCGGGGAGGGUCAUUGGAAACUGGUUGACUUGAGUGCAGAAGGGGAGAGUGGAAUUCCAUGUGUAGCGGUGAAAUGCGUAGAUAUAUGGAGGAACACCGGUGGCGAAAGCGGCUCUCUGGCCAUAAUCUGACGCUGAGGUACGAAAGCGUGGGUAGCAAACAGG